UACGUAGGGUGCAGGCGUUAAUCGGAAUUACUGGGCGUAAAGCGUGCGCAGGCGGUUUUUUAAGUCAGAUGUGAAAUCCCCGGGCUUAACCUGGGAACUGCGUUUGAAACUGGAAAGCUUGAGUGCGGCAGAGGGGGGUGGAAUUCAACGUGUAGCAGUGAAAUGCGUAGAGAUGUGGAGGAACACCGAUGGCGAAGGCAGCCCCCUGGGUCGACACUGACGCUCAUGCACGAAAGCGUGGGGAGCAAACAGG
rnacentral:rRNA from 1 species